rnacentral:rRNA from 1 species
UACAGAGGUCCCAAGCGUUGUUCGGAUUCACUGGGCGUAAAGGGUGCGUAGGCGGUCGGGUAAGUCUGAUGUGAAAUCUCACAGCUUAACUGUGAAACUGCAUUGGAUACUAUCCGGCUCGAGGAAUGGAGGGGAGACUGGAAUACUUUGUGUAGCAGUGAAAUGCGUAGAUAUCAAGUGGAACACCAGUGGCGAAGGCGAGUCUCUGGACAUUUCCUGACGCUGAGGCACGAAAGCCAGGGGAGCAAACGGG